rnacentral:rRNA from 1 species
GUGAGGAAUAUUGGUCAAUGGGCGGGAGCCUGAACCAGCCAAGUCGCGUGAAGGAAGAAGGAUCUAUGGUUCGUAAACUUCUUUUGCAGGGGAAUAAAGUGCAGGACGUGUCCUGUUUUGUAUGUACCCUGAGAAUAAGGAUCGGCUAACUCCGUGCCAGCAGCCGCGGUAAUACGGAGGAUCCGAGCGUUAUCCGGAUUUAUUGGGUUUAACGGGUGCGUAGGUGGUUUGAUAAGUCAGCGGUGAAAGUUUGCAGCUUAACUGUAAAAAUGCCGUUGAAACUGUCGGACUUGAGUGUAAAUGAGGUAGGCGGAAUGCGUGGUGUAGCGGUGAAAUGCAUAGAUAUCACGCAGAACUCCGAUUGCGAAGGCAGCUUACUAAGCUACAACUGACACUGAAGCACGAAAGCGUGGGGAUCAAACAGGAUUAGAAACCCCAGUAGUCC